GACGAACGCUGGCGGCGUGCUUAACACAUGCAAGUCGAACGGAAAGGCCCUGCUUUUGUGGGGUGCUCGAGUGGCGAACGGGUGAGUAACACGUGAGUAACCUGCACUUGACUUUGGGAUAAAUUCAGGAAACAGGGGCUAAUACAGGAUAGGAGCUCCUGCUGCAUGGUGGGGGUUGGAAAGUUUCGGCGGUUGGGGAUGGACUGGCGGGUUAUCAGCUGGUUGGGGGGGUAGUGGCGUACCAAGGCUUUGAAGGGUAGCCGGCCUGGGAGGGUGACCGGCCACCUGGGGCCUGCGAUACGGCCCAGACGCCUACGGUAGGCAGCAGUGGGGAAUAUUGCACAAUGGGGGGGAGCCUGAUGCAGCAACGCCGCGUGCGUGAUGACGGCCUUCUGGUUGUAAACCGCUUUCGCCUGUGACGAAGCGUGAUUGACGGUAAUUGGUAAAGAAGCACCGGCUAACUACGUG
rnacentral:rRNA from 1 species